rnacentral:rRNA from 1 species
CCCCCGGGCCCGCGCCCGCCGAAGACACCCUCGAACUCUGUCUGAAGAUUGUAGUCUGAGUGAAAAUAUAAAUUAUUUAAAACUUUCAACAACGGAUCUCUUGGUUCCGGCAUCGAUGAAGAACGCAGCGAAAUGCGAUACGUAAUGUGAAUUGCAAAUUCAGUGAAUCAUCGAGUCUUUGAACGCACAUUGCGCCCCCUGGUAUUCCGGGGGGCAUGCCUGUCCGAGCGUCAUUGCUGCCCUCAAGCCCGGCUUGUGUGUUGGGCCCCGUCCUCCGAUCCCGGGGGACGGGCCCGAAAGGCAGCGGCGGCACCGCGUCCGGUCCUCGAGCGUAUGGGGCUUUGUCACCCGCUCUGUAGGCCCGGCCGGCGCUUGCCGAUCAACCCAAAUUUUUAUCCAGGUUGACCUCGGAUCAGGUAGGGAUACCCGCUG